UGCUUCAAUAUAUUUUUCCAUGACAGACCACAAGUAAAAUUGUAUUGUGUUUUGGGAAGGGUUUUGCUUUCCAUGCUGUAUAACUCGGUUCAGAUGGGGUCUAAUGAAGAUGAAUGCAAUUAUGAGUGAAACAUUUCACUUGAAGAUACGAGCAAAAGAAAUCUCACUCUGCUUGAUGUAAAUUCUUGUUAGAGGAAGCCUGGAAGUGCCAAAAAUCAAUCUGAAUGUGAGGAUGUUCUCUAUUGCAGCGAAAGUGAAAAAAUAAAAUAAAAAAAUACAUAUAUA